rnacentral:snoRNA from 1 species
AUCCCAUGAUGAGGACACUAACGAAGUAACUACUUGAAUCGCUCCCAAGACUUAUACAAAGACUCGUCAUCCAAUUGCGGGAAAGUUGUGAUCUCGUUUCUCAACUC